UUACGGCCACAUCACAUUGAAACACCAGUUCCUGUAUGAUCACUGAAGUUAAGCAAUGUUAAGCCUGGUCAGUUCCUAGAUGGGUAACCGCUUGGGAAUACCAGGUGCUGUAAG